rnacentral:lncRNA from 1 species
GGGCAGGCGGGGCAGCUGCAGGGCUCAUUCUCCUGGGGCUGGGACCCCUGUCCCUCCAGCCAAUGCACACAUGCCCCAAGUGGUCCCAACCUCCCUCACCUGGGUCCCAGCCAGCCACACCCUGGAACAGGUUGGGGGUGCCAGGAACUCAGGAACCCCUGAUCCUUAGGCAGGACCCAGUGAUGGAGGACAGAUGGACCUUCUCGCUGAGUGGACGUGCUGGCCUGGGCCCCAGUGCUACCUGCUAUCUGCAGAUGACAAUGGCAUUGCUGCCAGACGCCUGAGGACCCACAGUCAAGCAGUGGCCCAGCGUCUGCCCUGCCACUAGUCAGGGGUCAACUCCAGUGGCCAGUGGUCUUCCAAUGCAGCUGGUGCUUGGCCUAGACCCUGACCCUCUGACAUGUGGCAGAGAGGUAGGGGUCUUGGGGGUCACCCCCACUGGCCUGGGCUUCAGUGGGCAAGGACUCAUCAUCGUCUGUCUGCCCUGCCGGGUCAGCUCCCUAUCCCAGGGUACACAGCUCCCUGGGCAUGGGCCCCUCCUUGUAAUGGCACCCCACACAGCUGCCCAAACACUGGGACCCUCUGUAUCCUCAUUUGUGACAGAGGCUGGAAGGAGCUGGUGGUGACCACAUGGACUGAGGUGAGUCUAGGCCCAGGGAGGGGAG